GGAGGAGUGUCCGAGUGGUUUAAGGAACCGGUCUUGAAAACCGGCGUGCGUGAAAGCGUACCGUGGGUUCGAAUCCCACCUCCUCCGCCA
rnacentral:tRNA from 3 species